CACGUAGGGGGCAAGCGUUGUCCGGAUUUAUUGGGCGUAAAGAGCUCGUAGGCGGCUUAGUAAGUCGGGUGUGAAACCUCCAGGCUCAACCUGGAGACGCCACCCGAUACUGCUGUGGCUAGAGUCCGGUAGGGGAGCGUAGAAUUCCUGGUGUAGCGGUGAAAUGCGCAGAUAUCAGGAGGAACACCAGCGGCGAAGGCGGCGCUCUGGGCCGGUACUGACGCUGAGGAGCGAAAGCGUGGGGAGCAAACAGG
rnacentral:rRNA from 1 species